GCGGCGUGCUUAACACAUGCAAGUCGAACGGAAAGGCCCUGCUUUUGUGGGGUGCUCGAGUGGCGAACGGGUGAGUAACACGUGAGUAACCUGCCCUUGACUUUGGGAUAACUUCAGGAAACUGGGGCUAAUACCGGAUAGGAGCUCCUGCUGCAUGGUGGGGGUUGGAAAGUUUCGGCGGUUGGGGAUGGACUCGCGGCUUAUCAGCUUGUUGGUGGGGUAGUGGCUUACCAAGGCUUUGACGGGUAGCCGGCCUGAGAGGGUGACCGGCCACAUUGGGACUGAGAUACGGCCCAGACUCCUACGGGAGGCAGCAGUGGGGAAUAUUGCACAAUGGGCGGAAGCCUGAUGCAGCAACGCCGCGUGCGGGAUGACGGCCUUCGGGUUGUAAACCGCUUUCGCCUGUGACGAAGCGUGAGUGACGGUAAUGGGUAAAGAAGCACCGGCUAACUACGUGCCAGCAGCCGCGGUGAUACGUAGGGUGCGAGCGUUGUCCGGAUUUAUUGGGCGUAAAGGGCUCGUAGGUGGUUGAUCGCGUCGGAAGUGUAAUCUUGGGGCUUAACCCUGAGCGUGCUUUCGAUACGGGUUGACUUGAGGAAGGUAGGGGAGAAUGGAAUUCCUGGUGGAGCGGUGGAAUGCGCAGAUAUCAGGAGGAACACCAGUGGCGAAGGCGGUUCUCUGGGCCUUUCCUGACGCUGAGGAGCGAAAGCGUGGGGAGCGAACAGGCUUAGAUACCCUGGUAGUCCACGCUGUAAACGGUGGGUACUAGGUGUGGGGUCCAUUCCACGGGUUCCGUGCCGUAGCUAACGCUUUAAGUACCCCGCCUGGGGAGUACGGCCGCAAGGCUAAAACUCAAAGGAAUUGACGGGGCCCCGCACAAGCGGCGGAGCAUGCGGAUUAAUUCGAUGCAACGCGUAGAACCUUACCUGGGUUUGACAUGGAUCGGGAGUGCUCAGAGAUGGGUGUGCCUCUUUUGGGGUCGGUUCACAGGUGGUGCAUGGCUGUCGUCAGCUCGUGUCGUGAGAUGUUGGGUUAAGUCCCGCAACGAGCGCAACCCUUGUUCACUGUUGCCAGCACGUUAUGGUGGGGACUCAGUGGAGACCGCCGGGGUCAACUCGGAGGAAGGUGGGGAUGACGUCAAGUCAUCAUGCCCCUUAUGUCCAGGGCUUCACGCAUGCUACAAUGGCUGGUACAGAGAGUGGCGAGCCUGUGAGGGUGAGCGAAUCUCGGAAAGCCGGUCUCAGUUCGGAUUGGGGUCUGCAACUCGACCUCAUGAAGUCGGAGUCGCUAGUAAUCGCAGAUCAGCAACGCUGCGGUGAAUACGUUCCCGGGGCUUGUACACACCGCCCGUCAAGUCAUGAAAGUUGGUAACACCCGAAGCCGGUGGCCUAACCGUUGUGGGGGAGCCGUCGAAGGUGGGACUGGUGAUUAGGACUA
rnacentral:rRNA from 1 species